ACUUGCAUCUGCUGGAGCAUGGUAAUUACUGUGCUCCAGCAGACUCCAGCGCCAUGUGUACCAGCGUCCCUGCAAUGAAAAAUGGCAUUGGGGGCACUGCA